rnacentral:lncRNA from 1 species
GCCCCGCUCUGCGCGCCGCCGGCUCCGGGUCUGGCCUCCGGGCGUCCCGCGCCGGUACCAGGCCCCCGAGCCUGAGGCUCUUAGCCCUUCGCGGACAAAGGAGAUCUCAGUUUGCGAAGGGCAAAGCUGCCUUUUCCAUCCUUUUGACGCAUCUUUGCGCGUCCACUCCCCGCUCUCUUAUUUGGACAUUUCACCCCGAAGACCCCUUGUCCAGCAGGGAGUGACCUCAUCAGCUCCCCUAAACUUGAAGUCAGGGGCCAUGCGACGCGGCUUGCCUGCAGGAUUUCACAGCCACUGAGUGAAGGAAGUUGUGGAGCUGUGUCUUACAGACGAAGAAACGGGAUCAGAGGGAUAAAGGAAUCUGCCCCAGAUUACCCACGUAGGGAAGGGUGGCGCAGGAACCCGGACCUCCAUGAUGUGAAUGAGCCCUUUGACAGCCUUUUUCUUCUCCUUACCUGUACCCCAAACCUCUGCACCUUUACCCCAGUUCCUCCUUGCUCUGGUGUAAACAGUGGUAACGGUCCCACUUGCGGCGUGCCCCCGCAAUGCUGGGUCCUGUUCCACAUGACAGACCACUGUAGAGGAAUUAUACGGACCAUUUUACAGAUGAGAACACAAGGCUCGGAGAGGUCAAGUUACUUGCUGCAGAACUGGGACUUGUACCCAGGUGACUUGACUCUACAGCAGAGCCUUUCAAUUACUCGACACCACCUUCCCCAGAAAAAGAGGAAGGCUUCCGAAUGUUGACAGUGGACGAUACACCCUCCCUUCUCUCUCCGACAGGGUCGCCAUCAAACCCAGUUGAAGAGGGUCCAGUGAGAGCCUAUUAGAGGCUUCACAACUCACUUGCCAGCAGCAGAUUUCUCCCAUCGCUUAGAGACUGCUCACUCACACCACUCCUCAGAAGACCUCCAGCAACAUACACAGCCAGGAACGACAGGAAGGAAGGGACAUGACAUUUACUGAACGGCAGUGCUGAACCAGGCACUGAGCCAGGGCCUGUUACUAAGGGCAAAGCUGGGAGGGAUAUUACCAGCCCAGGUUUGCAGACGAAAAAGCGGAUUUUUUUUUUUUUUUUGAGAUAGGGCCUCACUGUCACCCAGGCUGGAGUGCAGUGGUGCGAUCUCAGCUCACUGCAGCCUUGAGUUCCUGGGCUCAAGCGAGCCUCCCCUCUCAGCCCCACGAGUAGCUGGGACCACAGGUGUGUGCCACCAUGCCCCAGAUAAUUUUUUAAAGACUUUUUUUGUAGAGAGGGGGUCUCCCCUGUGUUGCCCAGGCUGGUAAAUAUUUUUUAAAACCAAAGUCAGAUGUCAAGGAAGUACAAGUUUCAGCUCAAAUGUCCAUCCCACAGAGAAAGCCCUUUCCCGUUUCCCUAAACGAAUUCUCCAUGAAUUGUUUUUAUUUGUCUCUAGUGCUUGUUGAAACUUGAAGUUCUAUAUUUGCGUGUUGAUAUAGUUUAAUGGUGAUUUCCCCCAAUGAAAUGAGAGCAGGGA